rnacentral:lncRNA from 1 species
AGAGUUUAAGCAUGCUGCCUGAAACUAAUCCAAGUGGUUCCUGCUACCCAACCCCCAGACACAUACAAAUAACCAUUUAUGAAGAUGUACUAUGCUCCAGCAAACUUGAAGAACGCUUGUGGGAGAUGACGCAAUCUCAAGACAAAAAUAUCCUGGGUUCCAGAACGAACAAAUGGACCAUAACUUCCCCAUACACCCUCCAUUCUCCUUGAGAAGUGAAAAACAGGAUGAAUUUAUGGCUUUUUUGGAGAUCAAAACUAUAUGACCUAUAUUGAGGCUGUGACUGGGCAUCAACCUCCUUAGAUCUAUGUUGUAUCUAGCUUUCUGCUAUUACUAUACCCUCAAUCUCAUGAGUGCUUUUCUUGCCCCUUUUCCAUUUGAUUCUCACAAUCCUAGGAGGUUUGCAGAAUAAGAAAUGUUAAUCUUACUUUUCAGAUGAAGAAACCAGAGGUCAGAGCUAUUACCUGAAUUGCCCAAUGUGACAUAGUUAACAGGUUGGAACAAUCUUGCUUGUCAAGUCUCUAUAUCCUUUAACUACCUGCUUUGCAACUUUGUAAUGUGGCAAUAUGAGCUUCUAUUCCCUUCAGUACAAAGUAAAGUUGUUCAUCUUUGUGGUUUUAUUCAUACUGUUCUGACCCUAAUGUCUUUGCUUUUACUUUUGGCCACUACCACUUCCCUGAUAUGAAAAUUUCUCUCCCUCCUUCUGCAGGCAUACACACUGACAUACAGUUUUACCUGGUUAUGGAAAUGUAAAAUGGUACAGCUGCUGUAGAAAACAGUUUGGCAGUUCUUCAAAAUGUUAAACACAGUUACCAUAUGACCCAACAACUCAACUCAUAGAUAUAUACUCAAAAAAUUGAAAACAUAUGUUCACAUAAAACUGUACACAAAUGUUUAUGGUAGCAUUAUUCAUAAUACCCAAACAAUGGAAACAACUUAAAUGUUCAUCAACUGAUGAAUGGAUAAACAAAAUGUGGCAUACCCUUAUAUGAAGUAUCACUUAGCAAUAAGACGGAGUGAAACACUGAUACAUGCUACAACAUGGAUGAGUCUUGAAGUACUAUAAUGAGUGAAAGAAGCCAGACACAAAAGGCCACAUGUUGUGUAAUUCCACUUAUAUGAAAUGUCCAAAAUAGACAAAUCCAUAGAGAUGGAAAAUAGCUUUGUGGUUGCCAGGAACUGGGGAGAGGGGGUAUUGAGGAGUCACUGCUAAUGGGUAUGUAAUUUCUUUUUGGAAUGACGAAAAUAUUCUGGAGUUAGAUGAUGUUUACUUAGAUAAUGAUGAUAGUUUUAUAACCUUGUGAAUAUACUAAAAACCACUGACUUGUACACUUUAUAUUGGUGAAUUUCAUGGCAUGUGAAUUAUAUUGCAAUUUUUUAAAAGGCAAAAAAGAAUGUUGCCUGGCUAACACCUAUUUGCAGUUUACUAUUUCACACAUGCAUCAACUCCUUCAGAAAGUUUUUCUUCAUAUCUCCCUCAUGUGCUCCCAUAACAUCUGUGAGAUUGUUACUACGUGUAUUGUGAUGACACAUGUUUUUGCUUUGCUUCCUCUCAGAUAUUAUGUAAGAAUAUAAUAUCUGAGCUCACCA